GACGAACGCUGGCGGCGUGCUUAACACAUGCAAGUCGAGCGGUAAGGCCCUUUUGGGGGUACACGAGCGGCGAACGGGUGAGUAACACGUGGGUGACCUGCCCUCAGCUCUGGGAUAAGCCUGGGAAACUGGGUCUAAUACUGGAUAUGACCUUUCCUCGCAUGGGGUUGGGUGGAAAGUUUUUCGGCUGGGGAUGGGCCCGCGGCCUAUCAGCUUGUUGGUGGGGUGAUGGCCUACCAAGGCGACGACGGGUAGCCGGCCUGAGAGGGCGACCGGCCACACUGGGACUGAGACACGGCCCAGACUCCUACGGGAGGCAGCAGUGGGAAGUAUUGCGCAAUGGGCGGAAGCCU
rnacentral:rRNA from 1 species